CGGGCACUUCUGAAUGAAGUCUUUAAAUCGCUCUCAAGCUUCAUAUAGCGUUUCAUCAUCCAAUUGCCGAAAAGAUGUGAUGUCAUUUCUAAGCUUGGCAUUCAUAUUUGGAGGAUUAUAUCGUAGAAAAAAACUCUAGCAAAGAUCAUUCCAUGAUGCUACUAUUCAGUACGGCAGAGCAUUCAGUCAUGCUCUCACACGAUCUCUUAAAGAAUAUGGAAACAGUUUAAGUCGCAAAGUGUCUUUAGGCACACCCUACUGUCUCUAUGAGUCAUAAACCUCUAAAAAAAGUCUUAAAUGAAGUAUUGGAUCUUUAUUAGGUAAUCCACUUAACUGUCCUACUGUUUACAACAUCUAAAAUAUUACCAGUUUCAGCUCAAACUACUGAACUUGUAUUUGUGGUCUGACUAUCUCUGGAUUCAAAUCAUCCAAAAUUAGCACAACAUGCUCUCAAAUUGGUCUAUCUCGGUCAUCUAUCACUCUACGAACAUGAAGAUUAGCAUCCUGACCAUUCAAAUUAUCAUUGAGACUAGGAUCAUUUUCGUUUCUAGCAUCAUAGUUCUUUUCACCUUCUUCGUAAAGUUAUUUCGAUGUCUGGGUUAAAAGGAUACUCUUUGUUAGCAGGAAUAUCUUUUCUCAUGUACUGAUGGAAAACUUAUAGAAAAAUAUAACUAAGUUAAAUAAAACUAAUGGAGCUAAGUGAAAUAACAAAACCAAUUUUUAGGAAAUUGUCAAUCCCUGGCAACGGUGCCAAAAAAUUGUCGCGUGUGAAUAUGAUAUGUGAAUUGUGCAAGUAUACACGUUGGAUCAACUAAUAAAAUGAUAAGUGAGUAUCAUUCCCAUGAGGUUCCGAUUGAUGCACAAAAGUGGUCAAGUUAUUAUAAUAGAGUGUUAUUAAUGCUAUGGCAAAAACAACGAUAAGUAUAAAGGAGUAGUGAUGUAUGUAAUAUGUGGAAUUUAAUGAAUACAUGGAAAUGUUAUGGAAAAACAAAAGUAGAAAUGUAAUGGAAAUUAUGAGAAUUACUACGGGAAUAUUAUGUAAAUGAACAAAUAAAUAACUAAUAAUGAUGUGACAAAGAUACUAUGGCAAAGAACAAAGGAUAUACGAUGUUGAUUUGGAAUGUUGGAAUUACUAAGAAUCUACCCUUACUGUCAGAGAUGCCUCGAAAAAAUCAUAAUUAAUUUACUACUUAGAAGAGUUCUAAAGUGGUCUGCUUCUUUCGAGAGCAAAAGUCUCAAGUUACCUUACCCAUGACAAUAUGCCUUUAAUACGAUACCCUGCACUAUUUCUUUCUGUAUGAAUGUUGCUCUAUAUCUAAAGUCUACUACAAGCAUCUAUUGAAUACUUGCUCAUAUCAUUCAAUUUUGGUCCAACUAAUCCAACUUUUUCAAAAUUAAAUUAGUUUAUGUGCAUGCUACAUAGUCUCUAUGUCUAGGAAUUGCACGCUUAUAAUUUAGAAAAAAAUAAUUAAAUGAAACAGUAAAUUAAUUCAAAUCUAUGCUUCAACCAUUAAAGAAAAUAAAGGUUUCAUCAUGUAAUCUCAACCCUAUGAAAUUUAGCUCAUGGGUUGGCACAUAAAAUUUAAAACCAAAAUAACAUCCAACACCAUUUUCAUCAUUCCAUUCAAGGAAGAACAAAGGAAGAAAAGUAUAAGACUUUGAGAAUACAACUUUUGCAUGUCAUGUUCACACUCCAACAACAUAAUUCAGGCGAUGGCUAAGAGGGACUACUUUUGUCUUCCUCUUUUUGUCUCUACUCAGUCGCUACCCUCUAUUUUUGCCUAAGGAUCUGUUACUUUUUGUUCGUCAUUUAGGGUUUCCUCCUUUGGCUUCUUAUAGCUUUUUUCCUUGGGUAAAUCCAACAAAUCAUGUUUAUCUUCUCCUCUUUUUAAAAUUUUUUUUCUAGAAUAAAAAUAAACAUCCCAGGAUUAUCUUCUCCUCUUUUAGGUACAUUUUUUUGGUAAAACUACAGUUGGGCUGAAAUUGGUAUGCAUUGAGUGUUGACUCGGUCUUCCUAGAAUUGCCACAGCAUUCGUGCUAACCAAAUGUCCAACCUUUUGCCCUGGUAAACCUUUACUCCUUUAUUUCUCAUUCCUCAACCUGCACCUGCCAAAGCACCAAACACAACCCUACCAUAAGCAAUUAAAAGUAUCUAUUAUUGAUUUUUUUUGGUAAGUGGUAAUAGGACUUGUAACUAAUAUAGUUUUGGAAAAAAUAUAAUUUUUUUAGAAUCUUUGAGGCAUAUUUUCGAUUGGUAAAUGAGGAGUUUUGAAUCAUAAAAUUAUGAUUUUAUGUUCUACCCCAUGAGACCUUUACAACGAGAUAUCAUAUGCUCAAAAUGGUUGAGUGAUGAAUGAGAAAUUGAUGCUCAAAGUAAGCUACUUGGAAAUUAUGUUGAGAAAAAUGAAAAAGCAUUAAUCCCACAUUUAUUAGGAAUCAAGUGUGGAACUUGUAUAUAUAUGUAAAUCAACUUGGUGGUUAUUAAAUGAGUAAACUAAUGCUCUCCCUCGUGCGCAGGGGGUGCAAAUCUAAAUCCACUGAGGUUGGGGCACACCCGCACGACAUGGGCGUUUCCAAGAUUUUACUCAAAUUGAUUUAAAGGCUUCUUUAAUGCAUAUUUGUAUCUUUAUUCAUGGAAAUUUCUAAAAUUCUUCCACAUUGAAUGCUUAUAAAAGCCUAAAUUCUUUAAAGACACACAACGAAUUUAUUUCACUCUCGAAAAUUCUAUUCCUUUUCUCUCCAAAAUUUUCAAAUGUCCGGUGAUAGAAGAAUGCAAGGUUUGUUCGUUGAUCACUGCAGACGUACUACUGCCGCAAUCAUUUUGUUAUUGUAUCCUGGGAGACAGAUGACCAACAUUUCUCUAAGUACCAUAGGAGCAGCUGAAUCUGUCUUAAGGAAACUGUGAAAACAGGCCUCAGCAUCUAGUAAAACUCGAUUUCCUUAUUCAAUUUCUGGUUUUUCAAUAUCUUGUUUAUAUAAUUAUUUUUUAGAUUUGAUGUUUUAAAUAAAUAUUAAUAUUUAUUUAAUUUAUUUUGUUUAGAUCUGGUGUUUUUACACAAAUAUAGAUAUUUGGUUAUAUUAUUUGUUCAAGAUAUUAUAUUUAAUAUAAAUAUUUACAUUUAUAUUUGUUCGCUAACGUGUUUUGUCCAACAAUAUUAAGACAGAUUUUUAUUAUUUUAAAAUUCUCUAAUCCGAGUAGAACGAGGCACGAAGGCGAAAAAAACAUAUUCUGUCUAAGGAAAAAAUUAAAUUGAAUAAAAUCUAUUUCGGGAUUUAUGAUUGUCGUUCAAUAGAUUUUAUUCCUUUUUUAUUUUGUUUCCAAACAAGAAUUAAUUGAAUAAUUCUAUUUCAGAAUUUAUUCUCGCAUCUCAACAGAUUUUAUUCUAUUUUGAUUUUGUUUCCAAACAAUAAUUAAAUAAAUAAUUCUAUUUCGAGAUUUAUUCCCGCCAUUUAACAGAUUUUAUUUGAUUUUGAUUUUGUUUCCAAACAAGAUUUAAUUAAAUAAUUUUGUUUCAAGAUUUAAUCCUGUCGGCCAACAAAAUUGAUUUUAAUUUUAUUUCAGAAUUUUAACUCUUCCAUUUAACAAAAUCAAAGGGUAAUAUAAAUUUUAAAUUAAAUUUUUUAUUUAUUGUGGCUUUAAUUGUGGCUUUAAAUUGUGAAAGCUUAAAUUGUAGCUUCAAACUUGUGACAUCAAAGAAAAAAAAAUUUAUCAACGGUGAAUUAAAAAAGACAAUAUGAGAGUGCAUGUCUAGGAUUGGUUCUUUGAAAGACUUGGUAUUUAAGCGUGCCAAGUGCACCACCUCUCUUUCAGGGUUACCUACCUGGCACAUUUUUUUUGUCUUUCGAUUAGACCGUGUAAACUUUUGUUUCAAGUUUUAUUAAAUUCCUAUCGUCUAGCAAAAGUUGAUAAUUUUUUUCUAAUUUUGGUUUUGUUUCUGAAAUCUUAACAGAAAAUGGAAACUCCCACCAAUGCUAUGGAAGAUAUGGACUUAUGUGCUGUGAUUUUUGGAGUCAACAUGGUUGACUCACAUCCAAGAGAAUAGUGGCUUGAUACUAGUGCCACACGUCAUAUUUGUUGUGACAAAGACUUCUUUUCUGAGUUGGAGCCUUGUGAAGAUAGGGAGAAGCUCUAUAUGGGCAAUGCUAUGACUUCCAAGAUCAAGGAGAAUGGUACUAUAGUCUUGAAGAUGACUUCUGGUAGAGAACUCAAGCUUCAAAAUGUGUUGUAUGUGUUUGACAUACGCAAGAACCUUAUUUCUGAGACACUCCUUAGUGUACACGGUUUUAAGACGGUGUUUGAAUCCCAGAAGCUAGUUUUGUCUAAAGGGUGAAUGUUUGUGGGAAGGGGAUAUGUAUUAAAUGACAUAUGGAAACUUAAAGCAAUCUCUGUAAAAUCAAAAACUAUGAAUAAGAGUGUUGUUUCUUCUUCUAUUUAUAUGCUUGAGUCAUUUAAUUUAUGGCAUGGUAGGCUCGGACAUGUUGAUUAUGAUACUUUACAUAGAUUAAUUAAUUUAGAGCACAUUCCUUCAUUUCACAUUAGUUAUAAACAUAAAUGUGAAACUUUUGUUGAGGAAAAAUUAACAAUGCUUUCGUUUGAAACUAUUGAAAGAAAUAUAGAACCACUCGAUCUAAUACAUAGCAAUGUUUGUGACUUAAUGUUUGUUCAAACCAGAGGAAGGAAUAAAUAUUUUAUUACCUUCAUUAAUGAUAGCACAAAAUAUUGUUAUGUAUAUUUGCUUCAGAGCAAAAACGAAGUUAUAGAGAAAUUUAUUCUCUAUAAACAGGAAGUUGAAACCUAACUUAAUAACUAAGAUGGUAAGAAGUGAUUGUGGUGGUAAAUAUGUUGAACCAUUUAGUGAAUACUGUGCACAACAUGGUAUUAUUCAUGAAGUGACACCACCAUACACUUCUCAAUCAAAUGGAAUAACCGAGCGAAAAAAUCAGACUCUAAAGGAAAUGAUGAACGCAUUACUAGGAAGCUCUGGGUUAUCACAGAACAUGUGGGGGGAAGCUAUUCUAUGAGCUAAUUACCUUUUAAAUAAGGUUCCCUACAAGAAAAUGGACAAUACACCAUAUGAGUUAUGGAAAGGUAGAAAACCUUCCUACAACUACUUGAAACUGUGGGGGUGUCUUGCAAAGGUAAUGGCUCCAUUACCAAAGUAAAUGAAAAUAGGUCUUAAAACGGUGGAUGUAUUUUCAUAGGCUAUGUAGAUCAUAGAAAUACAUAUAGGUUUUUUGUGUAUGAAUCAAAGAAUCCUGACAUUCACAAGAAUAUUAUAUUGGAAUCAAUGAAUUCUUUAUUCUUUAAAAAUAUCUUCCCUUAUAAAGCUAGGGAAGUUUAUUCAAGUUCAACAAAAUGAACUUCAGAGACUAUAGAAGAAAAUAGUCAAGACGAGGUUAAAACUAUGAUAGAGCCAAGAGUAAACGAGUAACACUGCAAAAAUCUUUUGGAUCAGAUUUUCUAACCUUUAUGCUAGAUGCUAAACCUCAAACAUGUGAUGAUGCUAUACGGUCAUCUAAAAGCACUUCAUGGAAAGAUGCUAUUAAAAGUGAAAUUGACUCCAUCAUGUAAAAUCAUACAUGAGAAUUAGUGGAUCUUACUCUAGGAAUUAAACCAUUAAAUUCUAAGUGGAUUUUUAAAUGAAAAAUGAAAGCAGAUGAAACAAUUAACAAGUACAAGGUCAGAUUGGUUAUAAAAGGUUAUAGAUAAAAAAGAAGGCCUACUUUGAUACUUUUUCUCCAAUAUCCAGGAUAACUUCUAUAAGGAUGAUACUUGCAAUUGUCGCCUUAUAGAAUCUAGAAGUACAUCAAAUGGAUGUUAAAACAACUUUCCUAAAUGGAGAUCUUGAUGAAGAAAUUUACAUAGAACAACCUGAGGGUCAUGUAAUUCUAAGACAAGAAAGGAAAGUUUGUAAAUUGGUGAAGUCUUUAUAUGGACUUAAGCAAGCACUAAAACAAUGGCAUUAAAACUGUUCGACAAUGCCAUGAUGACAAAUGGCUUUAAGAUUAAUGAAUGUGAAAAUUGUGUGUAUGUCAAAACUACCGAUAUUGGAUAUAUAAUCCUAUGCUUAUAUAUUGAUGACAUAGUCAUUGUUGGGAGUAACAAUGAAAUGGUAAAACGUGCCACAGACAUGUUAAAUUCAACGUUUGACAUGAAAGAUAUGGGACUAGCAAAUGUGAUUUUAGCAUCCAAAUUAAGAGGUCAUAUGAAGGUCUGAUAUUGACUUAGCCACACUAUGUGGACAAGAUUCUUGGGAAAUUUAGCAAGGAUGAUUCCGGUAUAGCCAAAACUCCAAUAGAUACAAGCCAACAUUUGUCCAAAAAUAAAGGUGAAAGUGUUGACCAAGUGGAAUAUGCAGGGGUCAUAGGCAGUCUAAUGUACCUUAUGAGUUGUACUAGACCAGAUAUUGCUUUCACUGUGAGCAGUUUAAGCAUAUUCACAAGCAAUCCAGGGGAAAACCAAUGGAAAGUAAUUGUGAGGAUACUGAGAUAUCUUAGAUAUACUCGGGACUAUGGAUUGCAUUAUUCCAAAAAUCCUAUUGUUUUAGAAGGAUUCUCCUGUGCCAGUUGGAUAUCUGAUAUUCAAGAUACCAAAGGCACAAGUGGAUAUGUUUUUACAUUAGGAGGAGGAGCUAUGUCAUGGAAAUCCCCAAGACAAACGAUUAUAACCAGAUCCAUAAUAGAAUCUGAGUUUGUAGCUCUAGACAAAUCUGGAGAAAAGGCUAAAUGGCUUCGAAACUUCUUGGAAGAUAUUCCUGACUGGCCAAAGCCUGUGCCCACAAUAUGUAUAUAUUGUAACAAUCAAGCAACAAUUGGUAGAGCACAAAAUGUAAUAUAUAAUGGUAAGUCAAGACAUAUGCGUCGUUGACACAAUACUUGUAGACAACUGAUCUCAAAUGGAGUUAUCUCUAUUGAUUUUGUAAAAUCAAAAGAUAACAUUGUGGAUCCGCUAACUAAAUGCUUAAAUCGAGAUCAGGUUAAUAAAACAUCGAAAGGAAUAGGACUAAAGCCCAUGGAAAUUAAAGGCGCUAUGUAAAGGAAAACCCAACCUAGUUGACUGGAGAUCCCAAAAUCUAAGUUCAAAUGGACAACCUAAUUGCAUAGGCCUUGUGAGGUCACUAUAGGGGUUCUUAUUCCAAGUCCGUUCCUAUGAAAUAAACAGUAAUUUAAAGUGAGAUAGGUUAAGUAAAGCUUUUAAUGACCAUUGUGUGUUUCGGAAAGCCAAGCAACAUAAGUCACCUAUGUUAGAGUGAAGUGGGGCCGCUUCGAGGAGACUAUUGUGCAUAGUUCUCUCAAAAUCUUGCAGAACCAGGAAAUGUUCAUGGUCAUAUAAACAUACCUAUGAGAACGAAGACCUUGCUAGGGAGGUAGUUGUGUAAGGUAUAUCAUUGUUUACACAAACGACAGAACAGUUCAAGGAUAUUGCGUCAACUAGUCAGCUAGUAAAAUAAAUAUACUUUCACAAUGUAAGGUUCAAGGGUUGAUGUCUGCCUAUCAUAUGCAACUAUCAAUCGUAGAAUCUAUCACCACAUCCAGCCAAUGUUUUUCAUUAAACCUAUCAAUUUCAUUCAUGUGGGGUAUUGUUGGAAAAAUAUGAUUUUUUGGAAUCUUUGAGGCAUAUUUUCGAUUGGUAAAUGAGGAGUUUUGAAUCAUAAAAUUAUGAUUUUAUGUUCUACCUCAUGAGACCUUUACAACGGGAUAUCAUAUGCUCAAAAUGGUUGAGUGAUGAAUGAGAAAUUGAUGCUCAAAGUAAGCUACUUGGAAAUUAUGUUGAGAAAAAAUGAAAAAGCAUUAGUCCCACAUUGAUUUGGAAUCAAGUGUGGAACUUUUAUAUAUAUGUAAACCAACUUAGUGGUUAUUGAAUGAGUAAACUAAUGCUCUCCCUCGCGCGCAGGGGGUGCAAAUUCAAACCCAUCGGGGUUGGGAAACACCCGCACGACGUGGGUAACGCGAAAUGUCCGGAUCGAUCAGGCCCUUUUAGGCCUGCGAAUAUUUUAGCCCAAUACGUAUUUAUUUAUUUUUUUGAGCAGAUAUUAUACAGAAUCUGUUUUAAAAGAACAAAUAUCUCAUUUUGAUUUGAUUCCAAUCAAAUUUGAUUUUAUUUUAUUCAAAUUGAUUUAAAGGCUCCCUUAAUGCAGAUUUGUAUCUUUAUUCAUGAAAAUUUCUAAAAUUCCUCCACAUUGAAUGUCUAUAAAAGCCUAAAGAAUAUUGCAGAAUUCUUUAGAGACGCACAACGAAUUUAUUUCACUCUCGAAAAUUCUAUUCAUUUUCUCUCCAAAUUUUUCAAAUGUUUGGUGAUAGAAGAAGGAAAGAUUUAUUUAUUGAUCACUGCAGAAGCACUACUCCCAUGAUCAUUUUGUUGUUGUUUCUUGGGAGACAGACGAUCAACGUUUCUCCAAGUACCAUAGGAGCUGUCGAGUCUAUCUUACGGAAACUGUGAAAACAGGCCUCAACAUCUAGUAAAAUUCGAUUCUCUUAUUCGAUUUCUAAUUUUUCAAGAUCUUGUUUAUUUAAUUAUUUUUUAGAUAUGAUGUUUUAAAUAAAUAUAAAUAUUUAUUUAAUUGAUUUUGUUUAGAUCCGGUGUUUUUACAUAAAUAUAAAUAUUUGUUUAUAUUAUUUGUUCAAAAUCUUGUAUUUAAUAUAAAUAUUUAUAUUUAUAUUUGUUCACUAAGGUGUUUUGUCCAAACUAUAGCUUCUCAAUAAUUGUCAAAUAUUAUAGUGAUAUGCUUUUUCUUUCAAUAAUUCAUAUCUUCAAGAUUAAAAGGUUUACUUUAGUAUUAUUCUAUUUAUUGAGUGUGUAUUAAUGUUUUGUACAGGAAUCCGUUGGAUUUUGGUCUUGUAUAAAUUAGCUGUGGUUGUGGGUAAAUAAAUGUGUGCCGUUCUUCAUUCUCCGAACAUGCUGAAUAUAAUUAUUGGCAUUUCAAGUGUGGCAUAAUAUAAAACAAUGGUUGGCUUCAUCAUAAUCUGUUUGGAGACUAACGGACCACACUUUGACCUCCAAAUUUAGAAAAUAUUUCCAGAGUUGGAAAUUGUAAUUGUAAUACCCUAAUAUUUGUACACCGCAGUGAACAUGGACAAUCAUGUCAUGAUGCAGAACCAGAAAAUGGUGCCAACUCUCCUUCUUCUCCCCCUCUUUCUUCCAAAACUAUAUCCUCGAAAAUGGUGACAUCAAACUUCCUUUCGUUUAUCAAAGGUUCACCCCUCACAUUACAGGGUCCUGUUCGUAUCUCAAGGCAAUCAAACAUGGAAUCCAUAUAUAUGAUUCUUCCCCAAUCCUUGUUGUAGAUUCUUUGGGGAUACAAGCCUUUUUGUUUGUAUUUAAAUACAAAAAAGGGAGAAAGAAAAGUGCCAUCUACAACUGCAUGCUAAUGAUUGCCAAAAUCACUGUUUGUUUUGUUGGAAGGCUUUCAAUCUUGCGGGGUCUUGAAGAGCCUGUUUCAGUAACUUGCCAUUAAUUCUCUCUUACAUUCCAAUCCUAAAAAAUGCUUCCAUCUUUUAGCUGCAACAGUUUAUAAUCAUCAGAAAGGUCUAGUCAGAAUAAUAUUACCUUCUCCUUUUAAACAGUUUUUUUUUUUUAAAUCAUGCCACUACAACUGUAGCUGCGCUCAUGUUAACAAUUAAUUCCUAUAAUCGACAUCAAAAUUAUAUGAAAGAAUUAACACUUGGUUACCGAGUUACCAUAUUUGAAGAUAACGCGAAAGGUAAAAACACAAAAGGCAAGCAUGACCAAGCAAACAAGGUAUGGACAUUGAUUUUUUUGAAUCGGGAAUGACCAAAUGGGACCGUGAAGAGGUGACAAAGGAGAAAUCAGGCAUUCACGGUUUCCAUUGGAUGAAAUGAGAUAAGAUCACUGUGCUUCUUCCACGUGGCAGGUUGCCAAAGAUAAGGCUUUACCAUUCAAGAAAAGUUUCCACCCUCUUUGUGGUCAUUAUGGUUGUAAUGUCAUCUGAUUUAGGAUCCAACGGUCACCCUGUCUCCCAAACCAAUCUCUAAAUGUGGUGAGCUUAGACCAAAUUUUAUGACUAUAUAUAGGGGAUUGCACCAAGGCAGUGACACUAUUAAGGGAUCAGUGAGACUCUUUUGUAUACCUGUAGCAUAUAGUAAUAGUAAGCAGUAAUAGCAAUGGCCUCCUCCAUGAUCUCAUCGGCAACCAUUGCCACCGUGAACCGCUCCUCCCCGGCACAGGCCAACAUGGUGGCCCCCUUCACCGGCCUCAAAUCUGCCUCUGCUUUCCCAGUCACCAGGAAGGCCAACAACGACAUCACUUCUCUUGCAAGCAACGGUGGGAGAGUGCAAUGCAUGCAGGUACUUGGUGAUGCAUAAAUACCACUUAAAUUACCCCAAGUGUUUGAACACAACAAAUUACAUAAAUUGAAUCAAAUAUAUAUCUUGGCUUUUGAGUACAGGUGUGGCCGCCUCUUGGGAAGAAGAAGUUCGAGACUCUCUCAUACCUGCCCGAUCUUACUCCCGUACAGUUGGCUAAGGAAGUAGAUUACCUUCUUCGCUCUAAAUGGAUUCCUUGCUUGGAAUUCGAAUUAGAGGUGUUUUGGAGCUCUAAAUUAUUCCAUUCCUCCUCUUAAUUUUUUUAGUGGGAUAUUUGAGUUGAUUAAGUGUGUUUUAUAUGUAUGUGCAGGAGGGAUUCGUGCACCGUAAGUACUCGAGCUUACCCACGUACUACGAUGGACGCUACUGGACCAUGUGGAAACUGCCCAUGUUCGGGUGCACCGACUCGGCUCAGGUGUUGAAGGAGCUUGAGGAAUGCAAGAAGGAAUACCCCAAUGCAUUCAUUAGAAUCAUUGGGUUCGACAACGUUCGUCAAGUGCAGUGCAUUAGUUUCAUUGCCUACAAGCCUGAAGGCUACUAAGUUGUUUACUUCCCUCCUAGGAAUUCCAUUUGUUUCAAAGUUGUACUUAAAUUAAGCCCCUCAAGCCCCCCCCCCCUUUUUCUUUUUCUUUUUUAGUUGAGUUAUUUGGCUUGGGGUCUCUCUUUGUUUUGUUUUUGGAUUUCCAAUGGAACGGCUGAGAACUAAUGAAUAAAAAGGUAGUUUCUUGCCAUAUUUCAUGAAUCCAGUUCUUCCUCCAUUUUCAGUGCUAAGAUAUUCAUGUUAAGAUAGGAUAAAAAUUAAAAGAAAAAAAGGUGAUUGGGUGGUCUGGCUUUAAAAUAAGAGGAUAAAGAUUUUGUGGACAAGCAACGCUGUGCUGUUGGAGGCUCAUUAUCUUAGUACAUAGGAAUACACCAAAGAAACCAUUUUUAUUAAAUUGUUUUAUUAUGACAUCACAAGUUUCUAUUAUUAAAAUAACAACUUAAAAAGGCUAAAUUCAAAUA
rnacentral:lncRNA from 1 species